AUCGCGACGCCAUUCCAAAUGCGGCGCUUGUCCGCACUCCGUACCCGUGACGCAAUCCGCGCAGCCAUUGGCCUUGAUAGGUACCUGCGUAUCAGGUGAAUUGAAAAACGAAAAUAUUUACAUACAACUUGAUAAUGCGUCCGCGCGACGAACGAUAACACUUAGUCAUUCAAAAAACAAAAGGCCGAUCGAUAAGACUGGCGUAAGUGCUCUAACGGCUAUGCACGGCUAUGUCUGCGGGAUCUGUCUGCAAUAUACCAUGUUUUUUUUUUCGGCGCAUAACUCUUCAACCAUUGGUUGUCUCGCAUCUUGGACUGCAGCCCACUUGGCCCUUCGUUCAUUCAUUUCCGGUUUUGAUGGGCAUCAAACAGCUCCCAGUCGUUCAGCUAGUUCUUUCAUUUCGCUACAUUCGUGUGACUUUCAUCAAUCAAUAAGGCAGAGAGAAUGGAGAAGCGAAAAGAGAAGACGUGGCAUUGCAACUUUGUCAUCUUCGCGCCUCGAAUCAACCGAAAAAUUCAAUGGAGGAGUGGAAUUCGUUUUGUUUUCUUUUGGAACGAUCGAUGUGUAACCUUCAAAAGCACCAAAGACAAAGGGGUAGAGGGAGAGAGGAAUAAAAAAAAAUGAAAGAUCCAGUAAUCGGCCCUUUCCCGUCGAAGGUCUACAUCAUUUAAUGGCCUUGGCGACAAACUCGACAUCUUGUCACUUUUAUCUUUGACAUUCGUCAUUUUUUUCUUCUUCUUCUUUUCCCCUUUUUUUGGAUAGGAUUCGGUAUCCAGCUUCCGUUCGAUCGGCAAAAGUGAAUAGUGAUUCUGUGGCGUUCGACGAUAAAAAUCGGUGAUGGAUCACGACACCUGGCAUUUCCUUUCGCCCUCGUUCGAUUGAAAGUUCGUUUUUACAUCAGACCUCUUCCUUGCACAUCCAAUAAGUGUUUGACUGUAUGAAUAAUAAAACACAAAAAAUGCUCCUUUUCUUUUCUAA